rnacentral:rRNA from 1 species
UACGAAGGGGGCUAGCGUUGUUCGGAAUUACUGGGCGUAAAGCGUGCGCAGGCGGCUUCUCAAGUCAGGGGUGAAAGCCCAGAGCUCAACUCUGGAAUUGCCUUUGAGACUGAGUGGCUUGAGUACGAGAGAGGUGAGUGGAAUUCCCAGUGUAGAGGUGAAAUUCGUAGAUAUUGGGAAGAACACCGGUGGCGAAGGCGGCUCACUGCGUACGUACUGACGCUCAUGCACGACAGCGUGGGGAUCAAACAGG